rnacentral:ncRNA from 1 species
CCAUCUGUAUCACCAGAUGAACCUAGGAGCCUGAAUAAAGUAGCGGCUCUGACAAUGUAACGAAGAACGGGGGCAUUCCGUUCGGGAUCUAAAUCGUGAGAGGACGAUCCUCCUGAUAACCACAAUCGGGUGAGUGC